UGGUGGAUUGAUUUGUCUGGUUGAUUCCGAUAACGAACGAGACGAGCAUAUUCAACUACGUUCUUCCCUAAUGCAAAUUAGAGAGACGUUCUUAAAUAGACAACUUGCUUCAAGCAAGAGGAAGCGGCUCGCAAUAACA
rnacentral:rRNA from 1 species